UACGGAGGGUGCAAGCGUUAUCCGGAUUCACUGGGUUUAAAGGGUGCGUAGGCGGAUAGGUAAGUCCGUGGUGAAAUCCUGCAGCUUAACUGCAGAACUGCCAUGGAUACUAUUUAUCUUGAAUGUCGUGGAGGUUAGCAGAAUAUGUCAUGUAGCGGUGAAAUGCUUAGAUAUGGCAUAGAAUACCCAUUGCGAAGGCAGCUAACUACGCGAUAAUUGACGCUGAUGCACGAAAGCGUGGGGAUCAAACAGG
rnacentral:rRNA from 1 species